CCUACGGGUGGCAGCAGUGAGGAAUAUUGGUCAAUGGACGCAAGUCUGAACCAGCCAAGUCGCGUGCAGGAUGACGGCCCUAUGAGUUGUAAACUUCUUUUGUACGAGGGUAAACCCAGACACGUGUACCUUUUUGCAUGUACUUUACGAAUAAGGAUCGGCUAACUCCGUGCCAGCAGCCGCGGUAAUACGGAGGAUCCAAGCGUUAUCCGGAUUUAUUGGGUUUAAAGGGUGCGUAGGUGGUCGGUUAAGUCAGUGGUGAAAGCCCGAGGCUCAACCGUGAAAUUGCAAUUGAUACUGGUAGGCUAGAGAAUAGUUGCGGUAGGCGGAAUGUAUGGUGUAGCGGUGAAAUGCUUAGAGAUCAUGCAGAACACCGAUUGCGAAGGCAGCUUACCAAGCUGCGACUGACGUUGAGGCACGAAAGCGUGGGGAGCAAACAGGAUUAGAUACCCGAGUAGUC
rnacentral:rRNA from 1 species